UACGGAGGGUGCAAGCGUUAUCCGGAUUUACUGGGUUUAAAGGGUGCGUAGGCGGGCCUUUAAGUCAGUGGUGAAAGCUCCGAGCUUAACUCGGAAACUGCCAUUGAUACUAUUGGUCUUGAAUUCGGUCGAGGUUGGCGGAAUGUGUCGUGUAGCGGUGAAAUGCUUAGAUAUGACACAGAACACCGAUUGCGAAGGCAGCUAGCUAGACCGACAUUGACGCUGAGGCACGAAAGCGUGGGGAU
rnacentral:rRNA from 1 species